rnacentral:rRNA from 1 species
UACGUAGGGGGCUAGCGUUGUCCGGAAUCAUUGGGCGUAAAGAGCGCGUAGGCGGCCAGAUAAGUCCGGUGUAAAAGUCACAGGCUCAACCUGUGAAUGCCGCUGGAAACUGUCUGGCUUGAGUCCGGGAGGGGCGAGUGGAACUGCGAGUGUAGAGGUGAAAAUUCGUAGAUAUUCGCAAGAACACCAGUGGCGAAGGCGGACUCACUGGCCCGAUACUGACGCUGAGGCACGAAAGCGUGGGGAGCAAACAGG